UACAGAGGUCUCAAGCGUUGUUCGGAUUCAUUGGGCGUAAAGGGUGUGUAGGUGGCGCCGUAAGUCGGGUGUGAAAUCUCGGGGCUUAACUCCGAAACUGCAUUCGAUACUGCGGUGCUUGAGGACUGGAGAGGAGACUGGAAUUCAUGGUGUAGCAGUGAAAUGCGUAGAGAUCAUGAGGAAGACCAGUGGCGAAGGCGGGUCUCUGGACAGUUCCUGACACUGAGGCGCGAAAGCUAGGGGAGCAAACAGG
rnacentral:rRNA from 1 species